GUUAUUAUUUUAAGACCAAAGAUUAGCAUAAAUAAAGAGGGUAGAUUAGCAUGGCCCCUGCGCAAGGAUGACACGCAAAUUCAUGAAGCGUUCCAUAUUUUU